AACGGCCGUACCAUGCUGAAUAUACCGGUUCUCGUUAGAUCACCGAAGUUCAGCAUCAUUGGGCGCGGUCAGUACUUGGGUGGGUGACCACCUGGGAACACUGCGUGCCGUU
rnacentral:rRNA from 1 species